rnacentral:rRNA from 1 species
AGAGUUUGAUCCUGGCUCAGGAUGAACGCUAGCGGCAGGCUUAACACAUGCAAGUCGAGGGGCAGCGCGGGGUAGCAAUACCCUGGCGGCGACCGGCGGAAGGGUGCGUAACACGUGAGCGACUUGCCCGUCACAGGGAGAUAACCGGCGGAAACGGCGACUAAUAUCCCAUAUGAUCCGGUGCUACAUGGCGUCGGGUUGAAAGAUUCAUCGGUGACGGAUAGGCUCGCGGGACAUUAGCUUGACGGCGGGGCAACGGCCCACCGUGGCGACGAUGUCUAGGGGUUCUGAGAGGAAGAUCCCCCACACUGGAACUGAGACACGGUCCAGACUCCUACGGGAGGCAGCAGUGAGGAAUAUUGGUCAAUGGGCGGAAGCCUGAACCAGCCAUGCCGCGUGAAGGAAUAAGGCCCUAUGGGUCGUAAACUUCUUUAGACGCAGAGCAAUAAGGGUCUCGCGAGGCCCGAUGAGAGUAUGCGUAGAAUAAGCAUCGGCUAACUCCGUGCCAGCAGCCGCGGUAAUACGGGGGAUGCGAGCGUUAUCCGGAUUUAUUGGGUUUAAAGGGUGCGUAGGCGGCAAGGUAAGUCAGCGGUGAAAGACCAGGGCUCAACUCUGGAAGUGCCGUUGAUACUGUCUGGCUAGAAUGAUUCCGCCGUGGGAGGAAUGAGUAGUGUAGCGGUGAAAUGCAUAGAUAUUACUCAGAACACCGAUUGCGAAGGCAUCUCACGAGGGGUUUAUUGACGCUGAGGCACGAAAGCGUGGGGAUCGAACAGGAUUAGAUACCCUGGUAGUCCACGCAGUAAACGAUGAUGGCUAACUGUCGGGCCUUCGGGUUCGGCGGCCAAGCGAAAGCGAUAAGCCAUCCACCUGGGGAGUACGACCGCAAGGUUGAAACUCAAAGGAAUUGACGGGGGCCCGCACAAGCGGAGGAACAUGUGGUUUAAUUCGAUGAUACGCGAGGAACCUUACCCAGGCUCGAACGGCAUCUGAAUCGUCCAGAGAUGGGCGAGUCUUCGGACAGAUGUCGAGGUGCUGCAUGGUUGUCGUCAGCUCGUGCCGUG